GGGGAUUUAGCUCAGUGGUAGAGUGCUUGCCUAGCAAGCGCAAGGCCCUGGGUUCGAUCCCCAGCUCA
rfam:Rattus norvegicus chromosome 1, whole genome shotgun sequence.